GAUGAAGAACGUAGCGAAAUGCGAUAAGUAAUGUGAAUUGCAGAAUUCAGUGAAUCAUCGAAUCUUUGAACGCACAUUGCGCCCGCCAGUAUUCUGGCGGGCAUGCCUGUCUGAGCGUCAUUUCAACCCUCAUGCCCCUAGGGCGUGGUGUUGGGGAUCGGCCAAAGCCCGCGAGGGACGGCCGGCCCCUAAAUCUAGUGGCGGACCCGUCGUGGCCUCCUCUGCGAAGUAGUGAUAUUCCGCAUCGGAGAGCGACGAGCCCCUGCCGUUAAACCCCCAACUUUCCAAGGUUGACCUCAGAUCAGGUAGGAAUACCCGCUGAACUUAAGAAUAUCAAUAAGCGGAGGA
rnacentral:misc_RNA from 1 species